rnacentral:rRNA from 1 species
UACGUAGGGUGCAAGCGUUGUCCGGAAUUAUUGGGCGUAAAGAGCUCGUAGGCGGUCUGUCGCGUCGGCUGUGAAAUCCCGAGGCUCAACCUCGGGUCUGCAGUCGAUACGGGCAAACUAGAGUAUUGCAGGGGAGACUGGAAUUCCUGGUGUAGCGGUGAAAUGCGCAGAUAUCAGGAGGAACACCGGUGGCGAAGGCGGGUCUCUGGGCAAUAACUGACGCUGAGGAGCGAGAGCGUGGGGAGCGAACAGG